UCGAAAUUGCUGACAGUAUACAAUUAGCGGGAUUUUCUUCUUUCCGUGUUCAAAGUCUCAGGUUGCACUCUUCUUCUCUGAAAUCACCAAUGGUUCGAGCUCCGAAAUCAGCUGAAAAUGGCGAAAAUCUACCUGAAAAUAGAGAAGUUACAGAGAGAAAGAAGCUUAAGCAUCUCGCUUUAUCUCAGAAACUUCUAUCCCGAGCUCCUGCAAAGCCCUCGAGUCCUCUGGAACCUUCGAAAAUGGUCACCAAACAAGAUGGGCGUGACAUUGUGAAAAAGGGACACCGAAAAAGCAAAUUUCUCUUUGCUUUCCCAGGCCUUUUGGCGCCUGUUAGUGGUGGAAAGAUUGGGGAGCUUGCAGAUUUAGGGUCGAAGAAUCCGAUCCUCUAUAUCGAUUUUCCUCAGGGUCGGAUGAAGCUUUUUGGAACUAUUGUGUAUCCGAAGAACAAGUACUUGACACUUCAAUUUGCUCGUGGGUCUAAGAACGUAUCAUGUGAGGAUUCAUUUGAGAACUUGGUUGUAUUUUCUGAUGCAUGGUGGAUCGGAAAGAAAGAAGCUAACCCCGAGGAGCUCCAGCUUGAGUUCCCUAAGGAACUUGAGGCCAUUCAUUCCGAUUUUGAUUUCAAAGGUGGGGUUGGGGCAACAACCAAAGAGAAAUCAGGCCCAAUUAAACCCAAUGAACCACUUUCUCCUAAGACUAAGUUUGAGAUCGACGAUUCUGAUAAUUCUAGCCCUUUGUCUGGUGAGAAUUCAAAUGGCGCACAGGAGGAGAUUCUGACUCCUAUUCGACAUUCUGCAAGAACAGCCGGGAGAACAUUCAAAUAUGUUGAUUCCUCUUCUGGAGAUGAUUUUCGCAGUAAAGAAAGUGGCUCAGAGUUAUCUGAAACAGAACAAGUGCAUGAAACAAAGGAAGAAACAGAAAAAAUGCCUGAUGUGAAGAAAGAGGCGGUUCAUCACAAAACUGAAAAAAAAACUUUCCAUGACCCUCAUUCUGUCAAGGAUGAGAAUGGCAAGAAAAAAGGCCAUUUGCAAGCUGAAGCUAAACCGCCUUCUUCGUCCUUGGGAAAAUCUAAAGAGCGUGAUAUUAAGAGAAAAGUCAGUCUUGUACAAGCUACUUUGUCCAAUUUUCUUGACAAAGUGGAUGAACAGAAGCCAAAGAAGAAUGUAAAGGCCUCGUCAGCAAUAAAAGGUGCCAUUUUUCUCCUUAGAGCUGUUUGGGCUAAUCAGGCUUCUUUUGAAAGGAGGCAGAGUCCACGGAAAUCAAAAAUUGAAGAGACACAUACCAAUAAACGCGUAAAGACCGAUACUUGUGGGGACCAUACAUGUGAAUAGACAAAAGCCAUCAAAGGUGGAUCAUGAUGAUGUUGAAGUGAUCUCAAGUGACUCGCAGGCCACUAACGGCAAUGAUGAAGAUUGGCUAGGUUGAAAUACAUCUGACAGGAAUGCAGAUUACAAGCAUAGUCUGAUUCAUGGUGCAUGAUGAAUCUGAGGUGGCUCUUCCUGUGCCCCAGAUGUCUCACUCAACAAAAAGCAGCAGGAGCUGGCUCUUGGGUUUGGCUAUGUAUGCCCUCAAAUAUGUGAAUGUUUGAGUGUCACAUUAAAUCAUCAAACCACACUACGGUGGUUACAUGAACCAAUAUAUCAACAAAAUUAUUAAUUCAAUAAAAUCAAUUUACUCAAUUGGUCAAA